GACGAACGCUGGCGGCGUGCCUAAUACAUGCAAGUCGAACGAACUCUGGUAUUGAUUGGUGCUUGCAUCAUGAUUUACAUUUGAGUGAGUGGCGAACUGGUGAGUAACACGUGGGAAACCUGCCCAGAAGCGGGGGAUAACACCUGGAAACAGAUGCUAAUACCGCAUAACAACUUGGACCGCAUGGUCCGAGUUUGAAAGAUGGCUUCGGCUAUCACUUUUGGAUGGUCCCGCGGCGUAUUAGCUAGAUGGUGAGGUAACGGCUCACCAUAGCAAUGAUACGUAGCCGACCUGAGAGGGUAAUCGGCCACAUUGGGACUGAGACACGGCCCAAACUCCUACGGGAGGCAGCAGUAGGGAAUCUUCCACAAUGGACGAAAGUCUGAUGGAGCAACGCCGCGUGAGUGAAGAAGGGUUUCGGCUCGUAAAACUCUGUUGUUAAAGAAGAACAUAUCUGAGAGUAACUGUUCAGGUAUUGACGGUAUUUAACCAGAAAGCCACGGCUAACUACGUGCCAGCAGCCGCGGUAAUACGUAGGUGGCAAGCGUUGUCCGGAUUUAUUGGGCGUAAAGCGAGCGCAGGCGGUUUUUUAAGUCUGAUGUGAAAGCCUUCGGCUCAACCGAAGAAGUGCAUCGGAAACUGGGGAACUUGAGUGCAGAAGAGGACAGUGGAACUCCAUGUGUAGCGGUGAAAUGCGUAGAUAUAUGGAAGAACACCAGUGGCGAAGGCGGCUGUCUGGUCUGUAACUGACGCUGAGGCUCGAAAGUAUGGGUAGCAAACAGGAUUAGAUACCCUGGUAGUCCAUACCGUAAACGAUGAAUGCUAAGUGUUGGAGGGUUUCCGCCCUUCAGUGCUGCAGCUAACGCAUUAAGCAUUCCGCCUGGGGAGUACGGCCGCAAGGCUGAAACUCAAAGGAAUUGACGGGGGCCCGCACAAGCGGUGGAGCAUGUGGUUUAAUUCGAAGCUACGCGAAGAACCUUACCAGGUCUUGACAUACUAUGCAAAUCUAAGAGAUUAGACGUUCCCUUCGGGGACAUGGAUACAGGUGGUGCAUGGUUGUCGUCAGCUCGUGUCGUGAGAUGUUGGGUUAAGUCCCGCAACGAGCGCAACCCUUAUUAUCAGUUGCCAGCAUUAAGUUGGGCACUCUGGUGAGACUGCCGGUGACAAACCGGAGGAAGGUGGGGAUGACGUCAAAUCAUCAUGCCCCUUAUGACCUGGGCUACACACGUGCUACAAUGGAUGGUACAACGAGUUGCGAACUCGCGAGAGUAAGCUAAUCUCUUAAAGCCAUUCUCAGUUCGGAUUGUAGGCUGCAACUCGCCUACAUGAAGUCGGAAUCGCUAGUAAUCGCGGAUCAGCAUGCCGCGGUGAAUACGUUCCCGGGCCUUGUACACACCGCCCGUCACACCAUGAGAGUUUGUAACACCCAAAGUCGGUGGGGUAACCUUUUAGGAACCAGCCGCCUAAGGUGGGACAGAUGAUUAGGGUGAAG
rnacentral:rRNA from 1 species